rnacentral:tRNA from 1 species
GAGGGGCCUUAGCUCAGUUGGUAGAGCACCGCCUUUGCAAGGCGGGUGUCAGGGGUUCGAUUCCCCUAGGCUCCAC